AACGAACGCUGGCGGCAGGCCUAACACAUGCAAGUCGAGCAAGGACUUCGGUCCUAGCGGCGGACGGGUGAGUAACGCGUGGGAACGUGCCCUUUGCUUCGGAAUAGCCCUGGGAAACUGGGAGUAAUACCGGAUGAGCCCUUUGGGGGAAAGAUUUAUCGGCGAAGGAUCGGCCCGCGUUGGAUUAGGUAGUUGGUGGGGUAAUGGCCUACCAAGCCGACGAUCCAUAGCUGGUUUGAGAGGAUGAUCAGCCACACUGGGACUGAGACACGGCCCAGACUCCUACGGGAGGCAGCAGUGGGGAAUCUUAGACAAUGGGGGAAACCCUGAUCUAGCCAUGCCGCGUGAGCGAUGAAGGCCUUAGGGUUGUAAAGCUCUUUCAGCUGGGAAGAUAAUGACGGUACCAGCAGAAGAAGCCCCGGCUAACUCCGUG
rnacentral:rRNA from 1 species